GCGAUCAUACCAGCACUAAUGCACCGGAUCCCAUCAGAACUCCGAAGUUAGGCGUGUUUGGGCGAGAGUAGUACUAGGAUGGGUGACCCCCUGGGAAGUCCUCGUGUUGCACCCC
rnacentral:rRNA from 1 species